UACGGAGGAUGCAAGCGUUAUCCGGAAUUAUUGGGCGUAAAGCGUCCGCAGGUGGCACUUCAAGUCUGCUGUCAAAGACCGGGGCUUAACCCUGGAAAGGCAGUGGAAACUGAAGCGCUAGAGUGUGGCAGGGGUAGAGGGAAUUCCCGAUGUAGCGGUGAAAUGCGUAGAUAUCUGGAGGAAUACCGGUGGCGAAGGCAGCUCGCUGGGACGGUACUGACGCUGAGGCGCGAAAGCGUGGGGAGCAAACAGG
rnacentral:rRNA from 1 species